rnacentral:rRNA from 1 species
UACGUAGGGUGCGAGCGUUAAUCGGAAUUACUGGGCGUAAAGCGUGCGCAGGCGGCUUUGUAAGCCAGAUGUGAAAUCCCCGGGCUUAACCUGGGAAUGGCAUUUGGGACUGCAAGGCUGGAGUGUGGCAGAGGAGACUGGAAUUCCUGGUGUAGCAGUGAAAUGCGUAGAUAUCAGGAGGAAUACCGAUGGCGAAGGCAGGUCUCUGGGCUGACACUGACGCUCAUGCACGAAAGCGUGGGGAGCGAACGGG